rnacentral:rRNA from 1 species
UACGUAGGGGGCAAGCGUUGUCCGGAUUUAUUGGGCGUAAAGAGCGUGUAGGCGGCCAGGUAGGUCUGCUGUGAAAACUCGAGGCUCAACCUCGAGAUGUCGGCGGAAACCAUCUGGCUAGAGUCCGGAAGAGGAAAGUGGAAUUCCCGGUGUAGCGGUGAAAUGCGCAGAUAUCAGGAAGAACACCCGUGGCGAAGGCGGCUCUCUGGGACGGUACUGACGCUGAGACGCGAAAGCGUGGGGAGCGAACAGG